CCACCCGCUAGAAAACGGGCUGGCUUUGCCGGGAGCGCCGCUUUUGGCAUUCCCGUACCCAUGUUGCUUCAAGGAGGAUAUGGCUAUGGCAA
rnacentral:sRNA from 1 species